AGAAACUUAGGAUAAUUUAGACCAAAAGCCUUCAAAGCUUUCAGUAGAAGUUAAAAUCUUCUAGUUUCUG
rnacentral:tRNA from 1 species